rnacentral:rRNA from 1 species
UGGGGAAUCUUCCGCAAUGGACGAAAGUCUGACGGAGCAACGCCGCGUGAGGGAUGACGGCCUUCGGGUUGUAAAGCUCUGUUAAUCGGGACGAAUGGUUCUUGUGCGAAUAGUGCGAGGAUUUGACGGUACCGGAAUAGAAAGCCACGGCUAACUACGUGCCAGCAGCCGCGGUAAUACGUAGGUGGCAAGCGUUGUCCGGAAUUAUUGGGCGUAAAGCGCGCGCAGGCGGAUUGGUCAGUCUGUCUUAAAAGUUCGGGGCUUAACCCCGUGAUGGGAUGGAAACUGCCAAUCUAGAGUAUCGGAGAGGAAAGUGGAAUUCCUAGUGUAGCGGUGAAAUGCGUAGAUAUUAGGAAGAACACCAGUGGCGAAGGCGACUUUCUGGACGAAACCUGACGCUGCGGCGCGAAAGCCAGGGGCGCGAACGGG